rnacentral:misc_RNA from 1 species
CGCGAUGUAAUGUAAGGCGAAAAAAAGUAAAUAAUGAAAUGAUGGGCCAUGUUCUGAAACCUAAAUCAAUUAACAGAAAAUGUAAGAAGAAGAAAGCUCUAGAGAUCAAAUAGAAUAGAGGAUCUCUCCUCGUACUGUAAACGCAACUCAACUACACAGCCACACAGGUAUGGCUGAUCGUUACUUCCCUAACGAAAUGCCACCCUAUCUACCAGAAACUACAACAGCAGCUUCGGACGAAGCUGUCACCGAAACAAGCAAAGACUCCCUCGCGAAACUCCUUUCUCUUCCCUACUAUACGCUUUCUGAGAGACUCAAAACAUCAGCCUUGGAGCUCAAACGCAUGGUGGUGAUGGAGACAUGGGGAUUGAGUGGCAAGCGCGUGCAUGACUAUACUAUUUACACGGGAGCACUAGGGACUGCUUACUUGCUCUUUAAAGCUUACCAGGCUACCAACAAUGAAAAUGAUCUUAAAUUGUGCUCUGAAAUUGUCAAGGCUUGUGAUUCUGCUUCUAGAGAUUCUGGGCGUGUGACAUUUAUAUGCGGGCAUGCUGGUGUUUGUGCUCUUGGUGCUGUUGUUGCAAAGCAUGCUGGUGAUGAAAGGCUACUAGAUCGCUACUUAACACAGUUUAAAGAGAAGAUCAAACUUCCUAGUGAUUUGCCAUAUGAGUUGUUGUACGGGAGAGCAGGGUUCUUGUGGGCCUGUUCAUUUCUCAACAAGCAUAUUGGUAAAGAAACCAUAUCUACUGCCCGCAGAAGAGCAGUUGUGGAGGAAAUAAUUAAGGCUGGGAAAAGAUUGGCACACAGAGACAAAUGCCCAUUGAUGUAUGAAUGGCAUGGAAAAAAGUACUGGGGUGCUGCCCAUGGAUUGGCUGGGAUCAUGCAUGUUUUGAUGGACAUGGAACUGAAACCGAAUGAAAUAGAGGAUGUCAAGGGUACACUACGCUACAUAAUUAAAAACCGUUUUCCCAGUGGUAAUUAUCCUUCAAGUGAAGGAAGUGAAUCCGAUCGUCUCGUGCAUUGGUGUCAUGGUGCUCCUGGGGUUGCUCUUACCCUUGUGAAAGCGGCUGAGGUUUUUGGAGACCAUGAGUUUUUGCAAGCUGCUCUCGAUGCAGGGGAGGUGGUUUGGAACCGGGGUCUCCUCAAGCGAGUUGGCAUGUGUCAUGGCAUCAGUGGAAAUACCUACGUUUUUCUGUCACUAUACCGGUUAACUGGUAAUGUGGAGUAUUUAUACAGAGCUAGAGCAUUUGCAUGCUUUCUACAUGAUAGAGCACAAAAACUUAUAUCAGAGGGGAAGAUGCAUGGAGGUGAUCGCCCCUAUUCCCUGUUUGAGGGUGUUGGAGGAAUGGCUUAUCUAUUUUUUGACAUGAUUGAACCAUCUGAAGCCAGGUUUCCUGCUUAUGAACUUUAAUCCUGCAACUCAAUAGUUAAUGAGAAAGUAGAUGUGAAUAUUCCUUUAGUUUAUGAAACUUGAUGCUGUUUGUAUAAAUUUUCAAAGAUUUAGCUUCUUGAAAAUUUUGCUCUAGCAUUUUAAUUUA